GUCCUUUUGAGUAUAAUUUAAGGUCGGGCCUGCCCAAUGAUUAAUUAAAUGGCCGCGGUACACUGACCGUGCAAAGGUAGCAUAAUCAUUAGUUUUUUAAUUGAAAGCUUGCAUGAAGGGUUUAAUGAAAAAAAUACUGUCUCUAUUUAAAUUUAUUAGAAUUUUAUAUUUAAGUUAAAAAGCUUAAGUGAUUAUUGAAGACGAGAAGACCCUAUAGAGUUUAAUAUUGUAUUUAGUGAAACGUUAUUAGGAAUUUUAAAUGUUUAUUAUUUAAGAGUAUUUAAUUGGGGUGAUUAAAAAAUUAGUUGAACUUUUUUUAUAUUUUUACAUUGAUUAAUGAAUUAUUGAUCUUUUAUUUGAGAUUAAAAGAUCUAAUUACCUUAGGGAUAACAGCGUAAUUUUUUUUAGAGUUCUUAUCGAAAGAAAAGAUUGCGACCUCGAUGUUGGAUUAAAAUUAAUUGUUGGUGUAGAAGCUAAUAAAUUAGGUCUGUUCGACCUUUAAAUUUUUACAUGAUCUGAGUUUAAACCGGUGUAAG
rnacentral:rRNA from 1 species